rnacentral:lncRNA from 1 species
UUUUUGCUACUCCAUAAGCAUUAUUUAAAAGAAGUUAGUGAAGAAAAAUUACUUUUUGUUGUACAUAUUUAGUGAAGAAAUUAUCUGUGGAGAAAGUUCUAUAUAUGCUUAAUUCAAUCUAUAUAUGCUUGAGGACAGCUUAGCUUCGCUGGGGCAUUUUGAGUUGAGUUGUCAUUCAACGCGCUUGACCGACCACCUAUUUUCUUUUGUUCCAAUAUUAGCCUUACACACUCAUAAUUCAUAAAUAAGCAAUAAAAUAAAACUUUGGCCUUAGACAUAGUCCUCAUAAUUUUUCUAAUCUAAUUUUUACCAUGUGCGAUAAAAUAUCAGUUGAAUUUCUAGACAUCGUAUAAAAUUAAAAAUCAAAGUUCCACUUUGAACAACACAUAUAAUAUAUAAAUUUUACUACAAAUCCUUAUUAUAAGGUUGAUGAUUAUCUUUUUUUUAAUCAUAAUAACUUUUGUGUACUAAUGGAAAGUGUUAAGAUAUGAUAUGGUAAGCAAAAGAAGUGGUGGUGUAAAUGGAAUUAUGAUAAGAAAGCAAAGAAAAAUAAAAAGUACAUAUGUCCCACGUAAUUUGCAUGAAAUGCAUUGAUGAACUUUGAAGGUGGCUUCCAAAAUGAAAA